UUUGAUCCUGGCUCAGGAUGAACGCUGGCGGCGUGCUUAACACAUGCAAGUCGAACGAACCUUCGGGUUAGUGGCGGACGGGUGAGUAACGCGUGGGAAUCUGCCCUCAGGAGGGGGAUAACGGCUGGAAACGGCCGCUAAUACCCCAUAUGCCGAGAGGUGAAAUGAAUUUCGCCUGAGGAUGAGCCCGCGUCUGAUUAGCUAGUUGGUGAGGUAAGAGCUCACCAAGGCAUCGAUCAGUAGCUGGUCUGAGAGGAUGAUCAGCCACACUGGGACUGAGACACGGCCCAGACUCCUACGGGAGGCAGCAGUGGGGAAUUUUCCGCAAUGGGCGAAAGCCUGACGGAGCAACGCCGCGUGAGGGAUGAAGGCCUCUGGGCUGUAAACCUCUUUUCUCAAGGAAGAAGAUCUGACGGUACUUGAGGAAUAAGCCACGGCUAAUUCCGUGCCAGCAGCCGCGGUAAUACGGGAGUGGCAAGCGUUAUCCGGAAUUAUUGGGCGUAAAGCGUCCGCAGGCGGCCUUUCAAGUCUGCUGUUAAAACGUGGAGCUUAACUCCAUCAUGGCAGUGGAAACUGUUGGGCUUGAGUGUGGUAGGGGCAGAGGGAAUUCCCGGUGUAGCGGUGAAAUGCGUAGAUAUCGGGAAGAACACCAGUGGCGAAGGCGCUCUGCUGGGCCAUAACUGACGCUCAUGGACGAAAGCCAGGGGAGCGAAAGGGAUUAGAUACCCCUGUAGUCCUGGCCGUAAACGAUGAACACUAGGUGUCGGGGGAAUCGACCCCCUCGGUGUCGUAGCCAACGCGUUAAGUGUUCCGCCUGGGGAGUACGCACGCAAGUGUGAAACUCAAAGGAAUUGACGGGGGCCCGCACAAGCGGUGGAGUAUGUGGUUUAAUUCGAUGCAACGCGAAGAACCUUACCAGGGUUUGACAUCCUGCGAAUCUCUUGGAAACGAGAGAGUGCCCUCGGGAACGCAGUGACAGGUGGUGCAUGGCUGUCGUCAGCUCGUGUCGUGAGAUGUUGGGUUAAGUCCCGCAACGAGCGCAACCCACGUCUUUAGUUGCCAGCAUUUAGUUGGGCACUCUAGAGAGACCGCCGGUGAUAAACCGGAGGAAGGUGUGGAUGACGUCAAGUCAUCAUGCCCCUUACAUCCUGGGCUACACACGUACUACAAUGCUACGGACAAAGAGCAGCAAGUUCGCGAGGACAAGCAAAUCUCAUAAACCGUGGCUCAGUUCAGAUCGUAGGCUGCAACUCGCCUACGUGAAGGAGGAAUCGCUAGUAAUCGCAGGUCAGCAUACUGCGGUGAAUACGUUCCCGGGCCUUGUACACACCGCCCGUCACACCAUGGAAGUUGGCCACGCCCGAAGCCGUUACUCCAACCCUUGUGGAGGAGGACGUCGAAGGUGGGGCUGAUGACUGGGGUGAAGUCGUAACAAGGUAGCCGUACCGGAAGGUGCGGCUG
rnacentral:rRNA from 1 species